AUGCCUGAAGAAGGGGAAAAAGAAUACCACAAGGGGGGAUGGUGUGAUUCUGAAGCACUGAAGGAAGCACUCCGAGUACUGCCUUUCAAAGGUUAUUUGAAAGAUAGUUUCAACAAACUCUCGGGGGAUUUGUGCGAUUGCAUUGAGACAUUGUACCAUGAUCAUCCAAGAAAUUCAGAAACAAGACGCAGUUUUCAGUGUAUGCUAGAAGUGGUUGAGUUGAUCAAAAUUCUUCCUGCUUUAAUAAACUGUGACAAGGAUAAUAGUGAUAUAUGGUCUGAUGAACUUCUUGAGAGAAAGAUACAAGAUGGUGGUGACCCUACUUUGUGGCGUGAGGAGCUCACCUGUGUGCAGACUAACACAUGCAAUAAAUCUAAGUUCAGGUUGGCCAGAUCCCUGUGUGUGCAAGAACUAAGAUAUCUUGUUGAUAACCUGGACCUUCCAAAUUGUUACAGCAUAAAAGAAAUUCAAUUCUACCUGUUGCAAAGAGUGAAAUGCAUUCUCUGUACAGUUUCCAGCUCAUUCAGGUUGUACAAUGUGCCCAUGGACAAUUCUCCUUCAGAUAUAUGCUGGUUGGUCAAGAAGUCUGAAAAGUUGACUCUUGACUUGCUGAUUGUCGAUGAGGCUGCACAGCUUAAAGAGUGUGAAACCUUAAUUCCUUUGCAGCUGCCAGGCAUAAGGCAGGCUGUUUUUAUCGGAGACGAAUAUCAGUUACCUGCUCUGGUGAAAAGCAAAAUAUCUGACAAUGCUAAAUUUGGGCGAAGUGUUUUUGAGAGGUUAAGUAUGCUGGGUUAUUGUAAGCACCUUCUCAAUGUGCAAUACAGGAUGCAUCCAAAAAUAAGCAAGUUUCCAGUUGUUACAUUUUAUGAUGGCAAGAUAUCUGAUGGUCCCAAUGUCACUACUAAGAGCUAUGAGAAGAGGUUUUUAGCAAGCAAAAUCUUUGGGUCAUACUCAUUCAUAAAUGUAGAUGGAGGACAUGAAACAACUGAGAAGCACGGGCAUGGCUGGAAAAACACAAUUGAAGCUGCUGCAGUUUCGAGGAUAGUGCAGAGGUUGUUCAAAGAGUCAUUCUCUACAGGAAUCAAAAUCUCCGUUGGUGUUGUGUCCCCAUAUAAUGGUCAAGUUAGAGAAAUCUCUGAGAAACUUGGGAAAUCCUACGAUAGGUACGACGGUUUCUCGGUGAAAGUGAAAUCUGUGGAUGGUUUCCAAGGUGCGGAGGAAGAUAUCAUUAUCAUAUCAACAGUGAGGAGCAAUAAAGCUGGUUCUGUUGGAUUUCUCACAAACAUGCAGCGGACCAAUGUGGCUCUCACGAGAGCUAAGCACUGUUUAUGGAUAGUAGGAAAUGGGACGACUUUAUCCAACAGCAAGUCUGUUUGGCAGAAGAUAGUCAAAGAUGCGCAAGACCGGGAUUGCUAUUUUGAUGCCGAUGAGGACAAAGAUUUGUCAAAUGCAGUAUUCAAGGCUGUCAUCGAGCUCGACGAUGCUGAUAAUCUAGUGGAAAAAAUGGACUCGCUUGAUAUAGGCAAGCCAAGGUCUCAGGUAUAA
rnacentral:rRNA from 1 species